GGGGAUAUAGCUCAGUGGUCGAGCAUUCGACGGCAGAUCGAGAGGUCCCUGGUUCGAACCCGGGUGUCCCUU
rnacentral:tRNA from 1 species